rnacentral:rRNA from 1 species
UCUGACUNGAGUGCAGAAGGGGAGAGUGGAAUNCCAUGUGUAGCGGUGAAAUGCGUAGAUAUAUGGAGGAACACCAGUGGCGAAAGCGGCUCUCUGGUCUGUCACUGACGCUGAGGCUCGAAAGCGUGGGUAGCGAACAGGAUUAGAUACCCUGGUAGUCCACGCCGUAAACGAUGAGUGCUAGGUGCUAGGCCCUUUCCGGGGCUUAGUGCCGGAGCUAACGCAAUAAGCACUCCGCCUGGGGAGUACGACCGCAAGGUUGAAACUCAAAGGAAUUGACGGGGGCCCGCACAAGCGGUGGAGCAUGUGGUUUAAUUCGAAGCAACGCGAAGAACCUUACCAGGUCUUGACAUCCCGAUGCUAUUCUUAGAGAUAGGAAGUUACUUCGGUACAUCGGAGACAGGUGGUGCAUGGUUGUCGUCAGCUCGUGUCGUGAGAUGUUGGGUUAAGUCCCGCAACGAGCGCAACCCUUAUUGUUAGUUGCCAUCAUUAAGUUGGGCACUCUAGCGAGACUGCCGGUAAUAAACCGGAGGAAGGCGGGGAUGACGUCAAAUCAUCAUGCCCCUUAUGACCUGGGCUACACACGUGCUACAAUGGUCGGUACAACGAGUUGCGAGCCGGUGACGGCAAGCUAAUCUCUGAAAGCCGAUCUCAGUUCGGAUUGGAGGCUGCAACUCGCCUCCAUGAAGUCGGAAUCGCUAGUAAUCGCGGAUCAGCACGCCGCGGUGAAUACGUUCCCGGGCCUUGUACACACCGCCCGUCACACCACGAGAGUUUGUAACACCCGAAGUCGGUGAGGUAACCUUUUAGGGGCCAGCCG